rnacentral:rRNA from 1 species
AUAGCGUAUAUUAAAGUUGUUGCAGUUAAAAAGCUCGUAGUUGAAUUUUGGACCUCGGCCAGACGGUCUGCCUGUUUGGGUACGUACUGUCUUGGCUAGGUCUUUCCUUCUGGAGAGCCUAGGUGUCGUUUACUCGGCGUCUAGGGGAUCCAGGACUUUUACUUUGAAAAAAUUAGAGUGUUUAAAGCAGGCUUACGCUUGAAUACAUUAGCAUGGAAUAAUAGAAUAGGACUUUGGUUCUAUUUUGUUGGUUUCUAGGACCAAGGUAAUGAUUAAUAGGGACAGUCGGGGGCAUCAGUAUUCAAUUGUCAGAGGUGAAAUUCUUGGAUUUAUUGAAGACUAACUACUG